GGUGGCUCAAUAGUAGAGUGCUUGCCUUGCAUGCACGAGGCCCUGGGUUCGAUUCCUCAGCACCA
rnacentral:tRNA from 1 species